UAACAAUGAUUUCCUUAGUAACGGCGAGUGAACAGGAAAAAGCUCAAAGUUGGAACCUGUUUGGCCUAGCUAAACCGGAUUGUAAACUGUAGAAGUGUUUUCCAGGCAAGCCGGACCGAUAAGUCCUUUGGAACAGGGCAUCAUAGAGGGUGAGAAUCCCGUCUUCGGUCUGAGCAUUUGCCUUUUGCGAUACACUUUCAAAGAGUCAGGUUGUUUGGGAAUGCAGCCUAAAUUGGGUGGUAAAUCUCACCUAAAGCUAAAUAUUGGCGAGAAACCGAUAGCGAACAAGUACCGUGAGGGAAAGAUGAAAAGAACUUUGAAAAGAGAGUUAAACAGUAUGUGAAAUUGUUAAAAGGGAACCGUUUGGAGCCAGACUGGCUUGUCUGUAAUCAGUCUAAGCUUCGGCUUGGAUGCACUUGCAGGCUAUGCCUGCCAACGACAAUUUGGCUUGAGGGAAAAAACUAAGGGAAAUGUGGCCCAUCCGCGGGUGUUAUAGUCCCUUAGAAAAUACCUUGGGCUGGAUUGAGGUACGCAGCGAAUGCUAUUUGGCGAGUUGGCUGGGAAUAUUUUCUGAGGUGCUUUGGUACUGAGGUUGAUAUUCCUAGUUACACUUCUAUUCGCUUUAGG
rnacentral:rRNA from 1 species